GACAAGAUGGCCGAGUGGUGAGUCUCUACUGAUGUGACACCACGAUUGCACUUCGAACUAACAUCUUCUCAGGUUAUGGCGUGUGACUCAAGUUCUCAUGGGCUUUGCCCGCGGGGGUUCGAAUCCCCCUCUUGUCA
rnacentral:tRNA from 1 species